GCCCAACAGCUAGCCCACCCACACAAUUUCAACAAGCCCCUGUUAAUAACCCCUAAAUACCCCCGUAUUUAAAUUAAACAAACCAUUUUUCCCCCCUAGUAUAGGCGAUAGAAAAGGGACUACGGCGCAAUAGAGAAAGUACCGCAAGGGAAUGCUGAAAGAGAAGUGAAAUAACCCAGUAAAGCCUGAAAAAGCAGAGAUCCAACCUCGUACCUUUUGCAUCAUGAUUUAGCGAGUGUACCCCAAGCAAAGAGAACUUUAGUUUGACGUCCCGAAACUACGUGAGCUACUCCAAGACAGCCUAUUAAUAGGGCAUACCCGUCUCUGUGGCAAAAGAGUGGGGAGAGCUUUGAGUAGAGGUGAUAAACCUACCGAACCUAGUUAUAGCUGGUUGUCCAAGAAAUGAAUAGAAGUUCAGCCUCUUGGCUUCUCUUUUCACCCUAGUUUAACCCCUAUUGAUGCAUCAAAGAAACCAAGAGAGUUAGUCAAAGGGGGUACAGCCCCUUUGAAUCAAGACACAACUUUACCAGGAGGCU
rnacentral:rRNA from 1 species